AGGGUAUAUAAUACAAACAUUGACGACUUCAAUGACAUAGACUGGGAAGAAUUCACAGACACUAUCGGAAAUGUCACCCCAGCUUAUGUUCAAGCAAAAUUUCAUGGUCUGAAGGUACAAAAUGUUCCUCACUGGCAAGAGAAGUCUUUCACAGAAAUUGUUGAUUAUUUGUACCAUGUGGUACUACCACGGUUUGAAAAUAAGUUGGAGAAAUAUAAGAGAAAAAUCGAUAGGCUCACUACUUACAGCUUUCCACAGAAGAACUCUUUCCUCCUAAAUGAAAUUUUUGAAGAUGUCAGUGAUUGUUCAGAAAACAACGAGCCAGUGCAAAACCCUGCCAGCUCUUCACAGGUGGACACAUAACCUUCGAAUUCCUGGAAGUUGCUCUCACUAGCCUCAUAUUCCAGAUUCAAGACUGUUUUAAAUUUUACUUUGGUUUCAUGAUGAAAAGCAUUUGGAAUCUAGCACUGUUGCCUUUUUAUUCUUGAGUAUUAUUGACAUUUUUCUAAGUGAAAAUAUCCUGAAUUUUGUAUGCAUGGGGUGCGUGCGCUUAUGAACAGUAAAUAGGAGUAGCGUAAUAAAAUUCUAACCUUGCCAAAGUGCAAAGCUUAGGCCGAAGUUUCACAUAGUAAUGAGCAGAAAGGACUGGUAAAUGUCAAGUAAUGGUACAUGUUAGAUAGAAAGCUGGCAUAAGAAAGAUUUGGGUAUAGUAACUGACUUCAGUCCUCUCUUUUCAGAGGCUAUUUCCUUGUUAACAUCACAUAUGCCAAAGUUGUUCCAGUUUUCCUUAAAAGUUAUCCUUUCUGCUUGUUUUACUUACAUUGUUAUUACACAUUUUUUGCCACUUUUAGAAAGCAAGAUUUUUCUGUUCCUUCAUUUGUUAAUGAGGUGUGCAUGCUAAAUGUAAGUGCCUCUUUCUACGGGUAGUUCAGAAGCACAGGUCUUGACUUUGUAAUUUAAUCGCAUUAUACAAGGGGAGAUUGAGAUGUCACUGUUUUAAGUGCCUUAUGUUUGCCUGUCUGUUACAGUCCUUAAUGUUAUUCUGCUUUGGAUAAUUUUCAGUUCCAUGGUUCCGGAAGGAAAAGAAAAGUGGAUCUUUUGAGUGAGGUUCCCAAAACUGUUGUGUGUGGCAGUUCAGCGCCUUCCUUUGAACUCCAGUCAUCUCAGCUGAGACAUUAAAGGAGGAGAAGUGCCACCUCGGUUUUGCUGCUGUUCUUGGAGUGUUAGGUUUAGUCCUUUUUGGAUUUUGAACACAGCUCACCAUAGUUAAAUAUACUGCAUUUUUUGUUUAGUUUUCAGCUUUUUUGCCCCCCCCCCCCCCCCCUGUGUGCCUGCCAUCUGACCAUCCACUACUCUCUGGGGCUGCUGCUCUAGUUCCGUUUUUUGAAUAUUCCCAGUACUAUCCCCUUGGGUCAGGACCACACACCAAUGGAAAGGGAGUGAGGAGGUAGGCAGAAUGAAUCACCUGAUACUGUCCCACAUAAAGUCCUGUUUGACAGGGGAUUGUUUGUAUGCAUGUGUCACUGUGUCACAAUUUGGCCAAGAUUGCGGUUUGCAUUUACCUCUCAGGUUCCAUCCAAAGAUGCAUUUGAAGCAUUUAUCUUGACAGCUGUCAAAUAUUGCUACAUAUGUAUUGCAAGCUUUGAUUUCUUUGACUGUUCCUAGCACCCUUGGAAAAAAAAGGCGUAGAAAAUUCAGGAUUAAAACACACACACAAGUCUGCAGUUCAUGUGGUUAGAAUGUACCAGCAGGUAUUACCAACUCUUGGGGCCCAAGUUUAUUUCCUGGUGGGAAAUGUAAGUUUUGUAAUUUAAAGCUGUGAUUUGAAGUUGCCUUGAAAAGACUGGUGCUACACUUGAAACAUCAAAUAUUCUCUUCUUUUAACUUUAAUUUGAAUUUUACACUUUCAGCAUUGCUCUCACUUUAUUCAGACCAGAAUUUGACAAGUUUAAAUAAUAAAUCUUUAUCCUAA